rnacentral:rRNA from 1 species
UCAAAUCUCCAAGGUGAACACCCUCUGACCAAUGAAACAAUGUAGGCAAGGGAAGUCGGCAAAACGGAUCCGUAACUUCGGGAAAAUGAUUGGCUCUGAGGACUGGGCUCGGGGGUCCCGGCCCCGAACCCGUUGGCUGUCGGCGGAUUGCUCGAGCUGCUCACGCGGCGAGAGCGGGUCGCCGCGUGCCGAUGGGGGGACGGAUCGGGAAUCGCCCCUUCGGGGGCUUUCCCCGAGCAU